UGACUAUGACGUGUAUAAAGUGAGUUAGACC
rnacentral:piRNA from 1 species